rnacentral:rRNA from 1 species
AACCAGCACCUCAAGUGGUCAGGAUGAUUAUUGGGCCUAAAGCGUAUGUAGGCGGCUAGAUAAGUCAGGCGUGCAAGCCCGUGGCUCAACCACGGAAUUGCGUUUGAAACUGUUUAGCUUGAGUACAGGAGAGGAAAGCGGAAUUCCCAGUGUAGCGGUGAAAUGCAUUGAUAUUGGGAAGAACACCGGUGGCGAAGGCGGCCUUCUGGUCUGAUACUGACGCUGAGAUACGAAAGCCAGGGGAGCGAACGGG